rnacentral:rRNA from 1 species
UACGUAGGGUGCGAGCGUUAAUCGGAAUUACUGGGCGUAAAGUGUGCGCAGGCGGCCGAGCAAGUCGAGUGUGAAAGCCCCGAGCUUAACUUGGGAACUGCGCUCGAAACUACUUGGCUAGAGUGUGGCAGAGGGAGGUGGAAUUCCACGUGUAGCGGUGAAAUGCGUAGAUAUCUGGAGGAACACCGGUGGCGAAGGCGGCAUCCUGGACCGCCAUUGACGCUGAGGCGCGAAAUCUAGGGGAGCAAACGGG